UACGUAGGCAGCGAGCGUUGUUCGGAAUUACUGGGCGUAAAGAGUGUGUAGGCGGUGCUCUAAGUUCGGUGUGAAAUCUCCCGGCUUAACUGGGAGGUGCGCCGGAAACUGGAGUGCUCGAGCGUGGGAGAGGGAAUGCGGAAUUCCGGGUGUGAGCGGUGGGAAUGACGUAGAGAUCCGGAAGAACGACCCGGUGGCGAAGGCGGCACUCUGGGACGGUACUGACGCUGAGACGCGAAAGCGUGGGAGCGAACGAGG
rnacentral:rRNA from 1 species